GGGAGGCAGCAGUGGGGAAUCUUGCACAAUGGAGGAAACUCUGAUGCAGCGAUGCCGCGUGAGUGAAGAAGGCCCUUGGGUUGUAAAGCUCUUUCGUCGGGGAAGAAAAUGACUGUACCCGAAUAAGAAGGUCCGGCUAACUUCGUGCCAGCAGCCGCGGUAAUACGAAGGGACCUAGCGUAGUUCGGAAUUACUGGGCUUAAAGAGUUCGUAGGUGGUUGAAAAAGUUGGUGGUGAAAUCCCAGAGCUUAACUCUGGAACUGCCAUCAAAACUUUUCAGCUAGAGUAUGAUAGAGGAAAGCAGAAUUUCUAGUGUAGAGGUGAAAUUCGUAGAUAUUAGAAAGAAUACCAAUUGCGAAGGCAGCUUUCUGGAUCAUUACUGACACUGAGGAACGAAAGCAUGGGUAGCGAAGAGGAUUAGAUACCCUCGUAGUCCAUGCCGUAAACGAUGUGUGUUAGACGUUGGAAAUUUAUUUUCAGUGUCGCAGCGAAAGCGAUAAACACACCGCCUGGGGAGUACGACCGCAAGGUUAAAACUCAAAUGAAUUGACGGGGACCCGCACAAGUAGUGGAGCAUGUGGUUUAAUUCGAAGAUACGCGCAGAACCUUACCAACACUUGACAUGUUCGUCGCGACUCUAAGAGAUUAGAGUUUUCGGUUCGGCCGGACGAAACACAGGUGCUGCAUGGCUGUCGUCAGCUCGUGUCGUGAGAUGUUGGGUUAAGUCCCGCAACGAGCGCAACCCUCACUUUUAGUUGCCAUCAUUAAGUUGGGCACUCUGAAAGAACUGCCAGUGAUAAGCUGGAGGAAGGUGGGGAUGACGUCAAGUCCUCAUGGCCCUUACGUGUUGGGCUACACACGUGCUA
rnacentral:rRNA from 1 species